rnacentral:rRNA from 1 species
UACGGGGGGGGCAAGCGUUGUUCGGAAUUACUGGGCGUAAAGGGCUCGUAGGCGGCUCGCUAAGUCAGACGUGAAAGCCCUCGGCUUAACCGGGGAACGGCGUCUGAGACUGGCAAGCUUGAAUCCGGGAGAGGGAUGCGGAAUUCCAGGUGUAGCGGUGAAAUGCGUAGAUAUCUGGAGGAACACCGGUGGCGAAGGCGGCAUCCUGGACCGGUAUUGACGCUGAGGAGCGAAAGCCAGGGGAGCAAACGGGAUUAGAUACCCCGGUAGUCCUGGCCCUAAACGAUGAAUGCUUGGUGUAGCGGGUAUCGAUCCCUGCUGUGCCGAAGCUAACGCAUUAAGCAUUCCGCCUGGGGAGUACGGUCGCAAGGCUGAA